CUCGCACCACUCCAUUUUUUUUGUCACCGUUGUGGAGCUAACCCACCUCCCCGUACUCUUUUUUUUUCUUAGGGUCUCCCCGCAGUUCUUGUAUCGAUUGAUUUGGGAGCGGACGGCGAGCGGUUUCAGCGGCCAGUGGCCAGCGGCGGCAGGAUUCGUCGGCGAGCGGGCAAAAGCUACUGGUGGACUUGGCUACUUGCGAGGCUGGGGUUCACACCGAUUGCCAGCGGCAGCGUCGAGGCGAGCGGCGAUGCGGGAGGCCUCGCGAAGGGUGCGGCCUCAUUGGCCGACGGCCUCGCAGGGAGGCUUCGCGGCGUGGUGUGUAGUCUGCGGCGCGACCGGUGUUCUCGGCGGCGUUGGGCGUUGUCGAUGGCUCGGCAGGUUCGUUGGGGCAGUAUUUCUUCUCUUUGGACGUUUAUCCCGGCCCUUCGGCACUCACGAUUCGUGCAGAGGAUCUGCGUGUCGCGACGGCUGAUAGCAGGAGAAGCAGCGCCUCGCUCUCCUCUGCGACCUCAUCCCCAAUUGGAAUUGAGAAGGCAGCUUCCCGAGCUCGCUCUCCACUAGAAGCUGCGUGAAUGGAUCGAACAAAAGGUUAGAUAUUUUUUCUACUUCUGAAUGAUUUCUCGUGACUAUAGGAGUAGCCUCACUUGUGUAAGAUCACUAAUUGUGUCAAAUUCUUCAUUUCUUGUAUUUAACUGUUUGACCCAAUUAUUUGAUAUGGUGUAUCAGAAAUUCAGAAUAAGAUAAGUUACGUUGGUUGUAUGAUUGAUCUACCUGUAGUUGUCAUUUGUGAGAUCAUCUGAUUUAGGUAGACUUAGUUGCAAGAGCUCGUCUUGUUUAAAUCAACUGGCCAACAUAGCUGAAAUAAAUUUAAGGGAAGUUAAUACGGAUCUGAUUUCCUUGAUGUUAUUCUGAAAACCAACUUGCAGCUUUGUAUCGCAAGUGGCAACAAGAGUACGCCUCCAAUGCUUUUACUGUUGGUCCUGUUUGCUUUUGGAGUAGCUUAGAACUUUAUUAUGUAGAUUUUCACGGGGUUGAAAGGGCCUGUCUAAAGUGCUAACCUUAUAGAACAAAGCUCGAGGCAUAGUCAAAUUUUAUUUGAGUUAUUGGAGUCCAAUUUCUACAAUACUUAACACAUAUUCAUUGGAAAACACUUCAAUCCACUUUGUACAUUGCCUACUAGCUGUUCGAAUGCACGAGAAGAAGCUGAUAAAUUUCAGAUUUUUUGUGUGGUGUAUGUUUCUGUUGUAGCCUAAUGUGGCACAAGGUGAGCUCAAGCCCCUUUUAUCCAGCCUGGAUCUUUGGACUUUUUUAAUACUUGAAGUUGAGUUACUGUUUUGAUCUGGGGUUGUUAGCUUCGGAAAUCAUCAGAUUUCAUCCGACCAGGUAAAAUCUUGCCAUUCUCUUGUUGCCGCACCGGCGGCGCCGCCGCCUUCUCCUUUCCUAUUCUCGUGCAAGGAAACAGAAGGAGGGCCGUAAUGGGAGCGACACUCGCCACCUCGCCUUCAUGGCUGCUCCGGACCACUGACGAGGUGGUGGUUGUCGCUGGAAAUCAUCCAGCAAGCUCAUCAUCGCCCUCCUCCGCCAAAUAUGCACGGUUGCAGCAGCAACAUCUCGUCCUCUCCAAAAUAGGAAACUUUUCAAAAUGAGUGUUGUUGGAAGUGAUGAGAGAACAAUAAUCUAGGGCAUCAAUUAGAGAUGGGAUAAAAAUUCACGAUGGAAGGCUGGUUUAUUGCUGUCCGUGUUUGGUGGUAACUGGUUGGCCCCUCCAUAUUUCAAGCGAAGUUACAGCCCCAUCUUCUUUGGAAUCUUGAUCAGCCUAUAUCACCUGGUCAACCUCUUGUUACCUGUUGCGGCGCCGAUGUGACAUCAUGUGUAUGGGGUUUGGUAAGUCCAGCUGCAGUUUGAGAUCGCUAGGUUUCCUUUGCGGAUGGAAAAUUGUGUCGCUAUAACUUACAUUCCCAUUUUAGGGUCUUCGCAGACUUGGCAAAACUGAUGUUGCUACAUACUGUAUGAUGGAUCAUGGACUGAUGAAUGGGGUGCUCACCCUGACGCUCCAGUUGGUAUUGCUCUUGCAGUUUGUGUAGGAUCAUCUAUUGUACUCCCUCUUAGCGAUUCUACUAUGCAAUGAUAGUCAGGAGUCAGGAAAUUGGAGAGAUUGGGUUGCUGUUUGCGGCUAUUGUUGAAAAAAAAUGAAAAUUGGAAUAUAUACUUUCUGAAUUAAUAAUAGAUGAU